UUUUAUCUAGAAUAGCAGCAGGGACA
rnacentral:piRNA from 1 species